AUUGAACGCUGGCGGCAGGCCUAACACAUGCAAGUCGAACGAGUGGCGGACGGGUGAGUAAUGUCUGGGAAAGUGCCUGAUGGGGGGGGAUAACUACUGGAAACGGUAGCUAAUCCCGCAUACCAUCGGAUGUGCACAGAUGGGAUUAGCUUGUAGGUGGGGUAAAGGCUCACCUAGGCGACGAUCCCUAGCUGGUCUGAGAGGAUGACCAGCCACACUGGGACUGAGACACGGGCCAGACUCCUACGGGAGGCAGCAGUGGGGAAUAUUGCACAAUGGGCGCAAGCCUGAUGCAGCCAUGCCGCGUGUAUGAAGAAGGCCGUCGGGUUGUAAAGUACUUUCAGCGGGGAGGCGUUACCCGCAGAAGAAGCACCGGCUAACUCCGUGCCAGCAGCCGCGGUAAUUC
rnacentral:rRNA from 1 species